CACCAAUACUGGUUUCUAUUAACGGUUCCCAAACUAGAACCAACAAUUCAAUACCGGUAUCAAAACACCAGCAGGUCCGAUACCAAAACAAGUACCAAUAAUCUGUUAUCGGUACCAUUAAAACAGUAGUCCUUCAAGAUGGCGGUCUGGCAGUCGGGUCAAAACGAAGCGGAGAUUUAUAAAGUGAUUUCCUCGGUUUAUUCAGGUGAAGGAGGCUGUUACUGUCUGCCUGGCACUUGGCACUCUUCACCGUUCUGCUUUCCGCCUGGAGUGCCACGGGGCCAACAGUGAGUGCCGGGCAGCUGACGGUGGACCUGGUAAUUACCUGUGAGAAGGUGGGCACCACCCAGCCCCUCUGACCGCAGCAGCAAAGACCAGUGCCAUGUCUUGCCUGCCCAGUGCCUUGCUGUCAUGCAGACCCCCUCAUAGAAAGUGAGCGACAUAACCUCCUGACUGAGCUGGUCCAGGAGGUGGUGGUCCUGCAAUGCCUAUGAGCGAUGGGACAACAACCAAAUCCCUGGCCACAGCUGCGCUACCUCACCUCCCACACAACAGAGGAGGACGUGCUAGUCUCACUUGGGGCCUUGGAGCUGGAGAACACAAAGGAAGAACAGACAACAGCAGACCUGAUGGUUCUUACGAGGCUGUUUGUGACAAGCUACACCAACUAUCUAAUCAAAGGUGGAAGAUGAAGGACAGCAAGAUGAAGAAGCGUCUGUCAGCCCUUCCUCUCGGGUGCCGGCUUUGUCAAACUCUUCAUGGAAAUUUGGUACGUAGUAGUAGGGCUCAUGUUAGCUGGUGAUGCAGGGGAUGAAAAGUGUGGUGUGUAAGACAUGCUUCACACCUUGUAUAUGUUGACUGGUGAAGGCCAACAAGUGGAAGAAUACCUGACCCAGCCAUUGCUUCCUUCAGAUAGGAGCCUUUCCAUAUGACAGGUUUUCCUUUUCCUGUACAGAUAUUUUGAAUUAGUUUUCUCUGAUUGGUUUCAGAAUAUCCUUAACAACAAAAGUCACCAAAAUUAUAUGCUCCUGCAGUGUUGGGUCACUGUUAGAUGCACAAGAGUGUACUGAAGGUCUAACAUGUGUGUGUAAGCUUACUUGAGGUGCUGUGUACAUACACAAUAGUAAAUUUUUGGGAAAAAAAUCAUUAUUUUUGGAUAUAUUGUUACUGAAUAAUCUACUCUGCUAUUCUCCUGCCCUCUGACUCAGCACUGACCUCA